AGGAUUGCGGGUGCUUACACAUGCAAGUCGAACGGUGAAGAGGAGCUUGCUUCUUGGAUCAGUGGCGAACGGGUGAGUAACACGUGAGUAACCUGCCCCAAACUCUGGGAUAAGCACUGGAAACGGUGUCUAAUACCGGAUACGAGCUUCAGCCGCAUGGCUAGGAGUUGGAAAGAAUUUCGGUUUGGGAUGGACUCGCGGCCUAUCAGCUAGUUGGUGAGGUAAUGGCUCACCAAGGCGACGACGGGUAGCCGGCCUGAGAGGGUGACCGGCCACACUGGGACUGAGACACGGCCCAGACUCCUACGGGAGGCAGCAGUGGGGAAUAUUGCACAAUGGGCGCAAGCCUGAUGCAGCAACGCCGCGUGAGGGACGACGGCCUUCGGGUUGUAAACCUCUUUUAGUAGGGAAGAAGCGAAAGUGACGGUACCUGCAGAAAAAGCACCGGCUAACUACGUGCCAGCAGCCGCGGUAAUACGUAGGGUGCAAGCGUUGUCCGGAAUUAUUGGGCGUAAAGAGCUCGUAGGCGGUUUGUCGCGUCUGCUGUGAAAACCCGAGGCUCAACCUCGGGCCUGCAGUGGGUACGGGCAGACUAGAGUGCGGUAGGGGAGAUUGGAAUUCCUGGUGUAGCGGUGGAAUGCGCAGAUAUCAGGAGGAACACCAAUGGCGAAGGCAGAUCUCUGGGCCGUAACUGACGCUGAGGAGCGAAAGCAUGGGGAGCGAACAGGAUUAUAUACCCUGGUAGUCCAUGCCGUAAACGUUGGGAACUAGAUGUGGGGACCAUUCCACGGUCUCCGUGUCGCAGCUAACGCAUUAAGUUCCCCGCCUGGGGGAGUACGGCCGCAAGGCUAAAACUCAAAGGAAUUGACGGGGGGCCCGCACAAGCGGCGGAGCAUGCGGAUUAAUUCGAUGCAACGCGAAGAACCUUACCAAGGCUUGACAUAUAGAGGAACCGGCUGCAAACAGUCGCCCCGCGAGGGUGCUCUAUACAGGUGGUGCAUGGUUUGUCGUCAGCUCGUGUCGGUGAUAUGUUCGAUUAGUCCAGCAACGAGCGCAACCCUCGGUCGUAUGCUGUCCAGCACGUAUUGUUGGUACUCAUGGCAUUCUGGCGGAGAUCGACUCGUAGCCACGUCGGGAUAGACGUCAGAAUGAUAGUGCCGCUAAUGUCUGGCCGUAGGCAUGCUACAUGCCGGUCAGAGGGCUCAACCGAGGCUGUAGUAUUCGAUAAAGCGAGUCGAGUACGAAUGCGGCAUGCUAACGCUCA
rnacentral:rRNA from 1 species